AAGGCUUUAGCUUAAUUAAAGCGUUUGUUUUGCAUAUAAAAGUUGUGGGUUAAUGUCCCGUAGGUCUUA
rnacentral:tRNA from 1 species